rnacentral:rRNA from 1 species
UUAAUGAGAGUUUGAUCCUGGCUCAGGACGAACGCUGGCGGCGUGCCUAAUACAUGCAAGUAGAACGCUGAAGUCUGGUGCUUGCACUAGACGGAUGAGUUGCGAACGGGUGAGUAACGCGUAGGUAACCUGCCUCAUAGCGGGGGAUAACUAUUGGAAACGAUAGCUAAUACCGCAUAACAGUAUUUACCGCAUGGUAGAUACUUGAAAGGAGCAAUUGCUUCACUAUGAGAUGGACCUGCGUUGUAUUAGCUAGUUGGUGAGGUAACGGCUCACCAAGGCAUCGAUACAUAGCCGACCUGAGAGGGUGAUCGGCCACACUGGGACUGAGACACGGCCCAGACUCCUACGGGAGGCAGCAGUAGGGAAUCUUCGGCAAUGGGGGCAACCCUGACCGAGCAACGCCGCGUGAGUGAAGAAGGUUUUCGGAUCGUAAAGCUCUGUUGUAAGAGAAGAACUGUGAGAAGAGUGGAAAGUUUCUCAUUUGACGGUAUCUUACC